rnacentral:rRNA from 1 species
UACGUAGGGUGCGAGCGUUGUCCGGAAUUAUUGGGCGUAAAGGGCUCGUAGGCGGUUUGUCGCGUCGGGAGUGAAAACACCGGGCUUAACUCGGUGCUUGCUUCCGAUACGGGCAGACUAGAGGCAUGCAGGGGAGAACGGAAUUCCUGGUGUAGCGGUGAAAUGCGCAGAUAUCAGGAGGAACACCGGUGGCGAAGGCGGGUCUCUGGGCCGAUACUGACGCUGAGGAGCGAAAGCGUGGGGAGCGAACAGG